CUCGAAAUCAUAUUUACAGUUCCUUUUUUUUUUUCCUUCUCCCCCCCUUCCUGUGACAUAUUCUCCAAAUCGGAAAGUGAAGUCCCCCUCUCCGGAGUUCAGUGUGCCCCGCCGCUCCCAGGACCCCUCUCCUGGCCCUCCCAGCGGUGCUGAGCCCCCAGCGUGGGGCCCGAACCCGGGCGCGCUCCUCCCCGGACCCGGCCCACGACGCGGGGCUUCCCAAGAGCAACGUGGAGGCUCCGCCUGGAAAAGAAGUCCGACUUCCUCUCCACGCUGCACAGAUGCAAUCUGGAAUCGGCAGGAAAUGGCUCGAACACCCAUCCCGCGCCUUUGCAGUCAGCCCUCGUUUUGCUGAAGGGAAGCAGCUCCCACCAAAGUCUUGCCACCCCCUCCCCCCCGAAAGACCCGCGCAGAUGACAUGCCAGUGCCUGGGUCUGUGAGCCAUUCCUAGCAAACAGCAGCUGUAAAUGUGGUCGGUCAGUGUUGCCUCGGAAAAUGAAAGGCAAGUAUGUUCAUGGGAGUACAGAAACAAAUAUUUUACCACGUACGAUUUUCUCAGGAGUUCAGACUGAGAGUUUUGUAUUUAAAAUUUUAUGAUAAACAUUUUUUCGUUGAUCUGUGAGGUCCAAAAGGAAACUUCACACUCAUAUUAUUUCGUUGUGUUCGCCUUUCAGAUUGAAGUUCGUCUGUCCUUCAGAAAAAGUAUUUUCAUGACUAUUAAAAACACCAUCAUGACUAGCAUUUUUAAUUCUCUUCAGGUAGAUAAAUGAUUGGUGUAGGUAAUUUUUAAAAACUUUAAACAAGCUUAGUACAGCCCUAUUGAAGGAGGUU
rnacentral:lncRNA from 1 species